ACUUACUCUUGUGUUACUGACUUGUUGCACCCUCGACAACUACUAUGAUUAUUAUUAUUUGACAAUGCUGGUCAUUUAUGAACAUUUGAACAUCUAGGCCAUGUGCUGUUAUAAUCUCCACCCAGCACAGCCAGAAGAGGACUGGCCAACCCUCAUAGCCUGGUUCCUCUCUAGGUUUCUUCCUAGGUUUUGGCCUGUCUAGGGAGUUUUUCCUAGCCACCAUGCUUCUACACCUACAUUGCUUGCUGUUUGGGGUUUUAGGCUGGGUUUCUGUACAGCACUUUGUGAUAUCAGCUGAGAGGAACUCUGGAUCUCUGUCAGUGUCCAUCUGGUUCUUAGUCACCUCCCUGACCAAGGCCCUUCUCCCCCGAUUGCUCAUUUUGGUCAGGUGGCCAGCUCUAGGAAGAGUCUUGGUGGUUCCAAACUUCUUCUAUUAAAUUAAUUAUGGAGGCCACUGUGUUCUUGGGGACAUUCAAUGCUGCAUAAUUUAUUUGGUACCCUUCACCAGAUCUGUGCCUUGACACAAUCCUGUCUCGGAACUCUACAGACAAUUCCUUCGACCUCAUUGCUUGGAUUUUUCUAUGACAUGCACAGUCAACUGUGGGACCUUAUAUAGACAGGUGUGUGCCUUUCCAAAUCAUGUCCAAUCAAUUGAAUUUACCACUGGUGGACUCCAAUCAAGUUUUAGAAACAUCUCAAGGAUGACUAAUGGAAACAGGAUGCACCUGAGCUCAAUUUCAACUCUCAAAGCAAAGGGUCUGAAUAUUUAUGUAAAUAAGGUAUUUCUGUUUUUUAUUUUUAAUACAUUUGCAAAAACAAAAUGUUUUUUUCGCUUUGUCUUUAUGAGGUAUUGUCUGUAGUUUGCCGAGGAUAAAAAAAUAAAAUAAUUGUGAAGAUGGCUGUAACGUAAAAAUGUUGAAAAAGGGAAGGGGUCUGAACACUUUCCGAAUGAACUGUAUAUGCACCAUGCCACUGCCUACUUCAUUUGUUAAUUUAGCAAACAAGACAACAUAUUAAUCCAGUGCCCUUAUCACAGUCAACACACCUAUAUUUUUUAUUUAAUUAGCUUUAAAAAUGCAAAAUGUUCUCUCAGCCUCAUGGCAAAAUGUGUAGAAUAGCAUGUGACGAGCUUUAAAACAGCAACAUUUUCUCUAAGCCUCAUGGCAAAAUGUGUAAUAUAGCAUGAGAUCAGCUAUAUAACUGAACAUUAUUUGGGGGGACACCCAAAUUUCUGCAGGCCCACCCAUCAACAAAUGUUUAGCUACGCC
rnacentral:lncRNA from 1 species